rnacentral:rRNA from 1 species
GACGAACGCUGGCGGCGUGCUUAACACAUGCAAGUCGAACGGAAAGGCCUCUUUCGGGGGGUACUCGAGUGGCGAACGGGCGAGUAACACGUGAGUAACUUGCCCUCUACUUUGGGAUAACUUCAGGCAACUGGGGCUAAUACCGGAUAGGAGCUCCUGCUGCAUGGUGGGGGCUGGAAAGUUUCGGCGGUUGGGGAUGGGUUGGCGGCGUAUCGGCUUGUGGGUGUGGUAGUGGCUUACCAAGGCCUUGGCGGGUAGCCGGACUGAGGGAGUGAGCGGCCGCAUUGGGACUGAGGGGCGGCCCAGACGGCUACGGGAGGCAACAGGGGGGAAGAUUGCUCAAGGGGUGGAGGCCUGAUGCAGAAGCGCCGUGUGCGGGAAAGCGCUCUUCGGGUUGAAGACCGCUUUCGCUCAUAACGAAGCUUUGUGUGACGGUAGUGGGUAAAGAAGCACCGGCUAACUACGUG